rnacentral:rRNA from 1 species
UACGUAGGGACCAAGCGUUGUUCGGAUUUACUGGGCGUAAAGGGCGCGUAGGCGGCGUGGUAAGUCACUUGUGAAAUCUCUGAGCUUAACUCAGAACGGCCAAGUGAUACUGCAGUGCUAGAGUGCAGAAGGGGCAAUCGGAAUUCUUGGUGUAGCGGUGAAAUGCGUAGAUAUCAAGAGGAACACCUGAGGUGAAGACGGGUUGCUGGGCUGACACUGACGCUGAGGCGCGAAAGCCAGGGGAGCAAACGGG